GAAUCUUCUGUCCUAAAGUCUCUGCAUGGCCGGCUCCUUCUCCAGAUUCAGAAACCACAAGAGAGGCUCUGGCUUAUGUUUUCCUCUUGCUGUCUCCUGACCCAGCCUGGUGCUUCCCUGCAAGACUCCCCACGAUGCGGGUGCCCCUCCUCUUGGGAUCCAUCAUGAAACUCUCGUGACCUGCAUGUGAGUGGUGCCCUCGUAAGUGGAGCCUUCUUAUGACUGAAGACCAGGGAAUCACCCAGAAAAACACCAACAAGCAAGCAUUGGUAGAUGCCUGCAGUUUACAACACCUACCUCACACUAUCAUGUCACUCCACGGCUGUCUGCUCUUCAUCAAACCUUGCAUAAACAUACACAAGUCCAUUCCUCUGGGUCUUCAUUUCCUUUUGGAGGCUCCCAUGUCACA